UCCGUUAUGGUGUAGUGGCUAACAUUAUCGCCUCUCAUGCAGUCAAUAGGUGCGCCCAGGGUUCGAUUCCCAAUAACGGAA